CCCUUCACUACUAUUAAGUAACUCCAUAAAAAUAUGGAGGCUAUUAUGUUAAAACUAGUAAUAAGAAGANUGGCCUUCUCUUUGAUGUAGGUGUAGGUCAGAAAGGACAAACCACUGACAAUUAAACGUUAAUGAGCACAAAACAGUAANCACUUCUAGAAAACCCUGUUUUUCNNNNCAAACGUUAAUCUAACACAAGAACAUUUCAAGAAAGAUUUAAAGAAAAAGAAGGAACUCGGCAAACAUUAACCUCGCCUGUUUACCAAAAACAUCGCCUCUUGNCCUAAAUAUAAGAGGUCUAGCCUGCCCAGUGACUUAGUUCAACGGCCGCGGUAUCCUAACCGUGCGAAGGUAGCGUAAUCACUUGUUCUUUAAAUGAGGACUAGUAUGAAUGGCAUCACGAGGGUUAUGCUGUCUCCUUUUUCUAAUCAAUGAAACUGAUCUCCCCGUGAAGAAGCGGGCAUAAUAAUAUAAGACGAGAAGACCCUAUGGAGCUUUAAACGAUUAUAGCACUGGCCCACUCANNNNNUUCCAUGUUUCANNNNNGAACUACAACAUUCACUAUGGCCUUAAUGACUAUUAGUUUUAGGUUGGGGUGACCGCGGAGCAAAAAUUAACCUCCACAUUGAAAAGAACNUNUUCUUGAGCCCAAAGCCACAACUUCAAGCACCAACAAACUGACAUACAUUGACCCAAGAAAUUGAGCAACGAACCAAGUUACCCUAGGGAUAACAGCGCAAUCCACUUCAAGAGCCCCUAUCGACAAGUGGGUUUACGACCUCNGAUGUUGGAUCAGGGUAUCCCAGUGGCGCAGCCGCUACUAAAGGUUCGUUUGUUCAACGAUUAAAACCCUACGUGAUCUGAGUUCAGACCGGAGUAAUCCAGGUCAGUUUCUAUCUAUAANAGGACUUUUUCUAGUACGAAAGGACCGNAAAAAGCAUGGCCAAUGCCCAANGUAUGCCAUNAUGUAUAACUUAUGAUAAUAUCUUAAUAAAAACACAUCCUACCAUNNAAACCCCAAAAAAAGGGGA
rnacentral:rRNA from 1 species